UACGGGGGGGCAAGCGUUGUUCGGAUUUACUUGGGACGGUAAAGGGCGCGUGAGGCGGCCACCGCAAGUCGACUGUGAAAUCUCCGGGCUUAACCCGGAAAGGUCAGCCGAUACUUGCGGGGCUAGAGUGCAGAAGGGGGCAAGCUGGAAUUCUCGGUGUAGCGGUGAAAUGCGUAGAUAUCAGGAGGAACACCCAUGGCGAAGGCAGACAAACUGGGCAUUAUCUGACGCUGAGGCGCGAAAGCGUAGGGUAGCGAAACAGGA
rnacentral:rRNA from 1 species